AGGACGAACGCUGGCGGCGUGCUUAACGACGAUGCAAGUCGAGCGGAAAGGCCCUUCGGGGUACUCGAGCGGCGAACGGGUGAGUAACACGUGGGCAACCUGCCCUUAGCUCUGGGAUAGCUCCGGGAAACCGGAAUUAAUACCGGAUAUGACCUAGGCCGACAUCGGCCGUGGUGGAAAGUUUUUCGGCUAGGGAUGGACUCGCGGCCUAUCAGCUAGUUGGUGGGGUAAUGGCCUACCAAGGCGACGACGGGUAGCCGGCCUGAGAGGGCGACCGGCCACACUGGGACUGAGACACGGCCCAGACUCCUACGGGAGGCAGCAGUGGGGAAUCUUGCGCAAUGGGCGAAAGCCUGACGCAGCGACGCCGCGUGGGGGAUGAAGGCCUUCGGGUUGUAAACCCCUUUCAGCAGGGACGAAGCGAAAGUGACGGUACCUGCAGAAGAAGCGCCGGCUAACUACGUGCCAGCAGCCGC
rnacentral:rRNA from 1 species